AAUUUCCUUUAAUAAUUUGAAAAUCCAGGGGUUGCUGCAACCCCUGCAAAAUUGUCAGGGUAGGCCUGCAUACCCUGCACCAUAUAAAUCGACGCCAGUGGCUCGUUCAUCAUGGAUUAUAAAUAUAAACCGCGAUUAUGUGAAUUUUAAUUGGUGUAAAUAUGAGAGCGAGGAGCGGCGCUAUCAGUAAAUUGGAACCAAUGCAAAUUGCAACAUGAUAAUACAAAGUAUCGUCCUGGCCGAGCUUGGACAGUGGCCAAAAACACGUCGUUUUUAGGCACCACGCGAAAAUCAGAGUUUUGUGAAGACCAGUUGCAAGAUAUCGAUUUUACCAAUAAAAUAUUUUAUUUAAAAUUUGUAUACACUUGUUAUUUUAUUACACUGUUUUAAAAUCGAAAAGAUUAAACAUGUUGUAUAAAUCGUAUAAGUUAUAAAACACAGACUGCUUGCUAAUUCUGCUUUGAAUUGGUAUUGAAUGUAUGCUACCGCAUGCGUUUUCUUUUGUUUCCUACGCCGGCGCAGAGCGUAAAAAUGUGACGCUUAUACACACGAUCAGAGCUGCGAUUGAGCCGUUUUGGACUAGGUGUCGCGAGCCAGGCUGUCGCCGAGCAUUGCUCGCGACACCUAGUCCAAUUUAAUUUAUUUAUAUUUAUUGUCGCGGCAAUAACUGUUAAGUUUAGUGACGUCAACGUCGCAAAACCGAGUUUCGGCGCGAGCCACGGUCCCCAGUGUCGCCAAAAUCUACUGCAGAUGUCCAUUCUUACGCGACUAAAUGCCUGUCGCGACGGUUAGCGCAGCAUCGGUAAAAAAUCCAGGUGUCGCCAAAGUCUGGGUCAGCAACGAAAUCGCUUUUGGGAAUUCUGACGUGAGUGGAUGUAAUACUAUUAGAUUUAGAGGACAGAUAUAAUAUCUUUAAAAUUCGAGGUUUUUUAUCACUGAACUCGGCGGUAUACAUUUUGAUAAAAUGAUUCGUCGUUAUCUUUUUUUGUAUUCUAAAUCGUCGUCUCUCAUUAGAACGCUCUUCAUCUCGGAUUAAAUGCCAAUUUACUCGCAAGAAAAUCUGACCAAGAUUGUUUUGGAUGCAUU